rnacentral:rRNA from 1 species
GACGAACGCUGGCGGCGUGCUUAACACAUGCAAGUCGAACGAAGAGCGAUGGAAGCUUGCUUCUAUCAAUCUUAGUGGCGAACGGGUGAGUAACGCGUAAUCAACCUGCCCUUCAGAGGGGGACAACAGUUGGAAACGACUGCUAAUACCGCAUACGAUCUAAUCUCGGCAUCGAGGAUAGAUGAAAGGUGGCCUCUACAUGUAAGCUAUCACUGAAGGAGGGGAUUGCGUCUGAUUAGCUAGUUGGAGGGGUAACGGCCCACCAAGGCGAUGAUCAGUAGCCGGUCGGAGAGGAUGAACGGCCAGAUUGGGACUGAGACACGGCCCAGAGCCCUACGGGAGGCAGCAGUGGGGAAUCGUGCGCAAGGGACGAAAGGCUGACGGAGAAACGCCGCGGGAGGGAGGACGGCCGUCGGGUUGUAAAGCUCUGUUAAUCGGGACGAAAGGCCUUCUUGCGAAUAGGGAGAAGGAUUGACGGUACCGGAAUAGAAAGCCACGGCUAACUACGUG